rnacentral:rRNA from 1 species
CCUUACCUGGCCUUGACAUACUAAGAACUUUCCAGGGAUGGAUUGGUGCCUUCGGGAACUUAGAUACAGGUGCUGCAUGGCUGUCGUCAGCUCGUGUCGUGAGAUGUUGGGUUAAGUCCCGCAACGAGCGCAACCCUUUUCCUUAUUUGCCAGCGGGUCAUGCCGGGAACUUUAAGGAUACUGCCAGUGACAAACUGGAGGAAGGCGGGGACGACGUCAAGUCAUCAUGGCCCUUACGGCCAGGGCUACACACGUGCUACAAUGGUCGGUACAAAGGGUUGCUACCUCGCGAGAGGAUGCUAAUCUCAAAAAGCCGAUCGUAGUCCGGGUCGCAGUCUGCAACUCGACUGCGUGAAGUCGGAAUCGCUAGUAAUCGCGGAUCAGAAUGCCGCGGUGAAUACGUUCCCGGGCCUUGUACACACCGCCCGUCACACCAUGGGAGUUUGUUGCACCAGAAGUAGGUAGUCUAACCGCAAGGAGGACGCUUACCACGGUGUGGCCGAUGACUGGGGUGAAGUCGUAACAAGGUAAGCGUAGAUGA